rnacentral:rRNA from 1 species
GGUUAGUGCAAUGGCAUAAGCUAGCUUGACUGCGAGCGUGACGGCGCGAGCAGGUGCGAAAGCAGGUCAUAGUGAUCCGGUGGUUCUGAAUGGAAGGGCCAUCGCUCAACGGAUAAAAGGUACUCCGGGGAUAACAGGCUGAUACCGCCCAAGAGUUCAUAUCGACGGCGGUGUUUGGCACCUCGAUGUCGGCUCAUCACAUCCUGGGGCUGAAGUAGGUCCCAAGGGUAUGGCUGUUCGCCAUUUAAAGUGGUACGCGAGCUGGGUUUAGAACGUCGUGAGACAGUUCGGUCCCUAUCUGCCGUGGGCGCUGGAGAAUUGAGGGGGGCUGCUCCUAGUACGAGAGGACCGGAGUGGACGCAUCACUGGUGUUCGGGUUGUCAUGCCAAUGGCACUGCCCGGUAGCUAAAUGCGGAAGAGAUAAGUGCUGAAAGCAUCUAAGCACGAAACUUGCCCCGAGAUGAGUUCUCCCUGAGACUUUAAGUCUCCUGAAGGAACGUUGAAGACGACGACGUUGAUAGGCCGGGUGUGUAAGCGCAGCGAUGCGUUGAGCUAACCGGUACUAAUGAACCGUGAGGCUUAACCUUACAACGCCGAAGAUGUUUUG